UAGAUAUGAUUUGCCGCAAAAGCCGUCGUUUGUAUGCAUCUAGUCAAUAAGUUAUCAUGUUAGCAACAUAUAAGUUCCAACAAAUAUGAUGCACAACGCAAAAGUAGUUGAGCACCCCUGUCAGAAAUCUCUACACAUUCCAUCCAUCGACCACAUCUCUGCUACUACCGUUGCACGAGCAAAGAGCGUCCAUCCUAAUCGAGCAAGCAAACUCACACCGAAGCACAAAUCCAAUACCAUACGGCGAGGGAGAGUGGGAUUACGCUCGCAGUCGGCAAAUGACCUCUCUCAGCAUACCGGCGCAAUACUCACACAAGCGAAAGCUGUGUGUUGACGAUUGGUGAGAGAACAGAACAGUGGUAGUUCGAGUCAGUCCGGCUUGAUGUGCGGAUCAGUUUCCGAAAAGUGAAAGUUGUUUUCGUGAAUUGCGGUGGCGGAUUUCAAGUGCACAUCUCGGUGCAGGUGCAGAAAAUAGUUGGAAGUGGCAGAUAUCACGCCGAUCAGGAUCCACAUCCCACGCAGGCCAAAAGAUCAUUGGCGAUAAAGUGCGAUCAGUGCAGGUAAAUUUAACAAAGUAAGUUUGCCAAACACGUGCUAAAACAAUGGCGUUCCACUAGGGUGUUAACGGACAAUCCGCUAGAACCGAGCGCGGCAUAAUCCCGUUCCGCUCCAUUGGCAUACGGUGGACACGAAACGCCACGAGGAAAGUGAAUCACAGCGGCCGACAGGAAGCGCAAAACGGAUCUCCCAGGCAGUUGACGUUGAUUAGCGAGGAAGCUUUAGCGAACCGGCCUGUGGAAGACCGACGCCGAGAGAGACCGACCAACAGCUCGAAGGAGAAGAGACAUCGGAAGGCCCCUUUAAGGGGCUUUUGUGUUCCAUUUCUGGAACCACUUUUGCCAUUGUUGGGCAGUCGCUCAGGCCGUCCGAGUACUGGGUCAUCUUUCUUCGGAUCCGAGGUGAGGAGAACUCCAUCAAGGCAAGACCGUGGGAUAUUGUGCGCUCAGUUAACGACGGUGGUUGGAUACGGCCCGAAACGCUUCAAGACGAACUCGGCCAGCGGCCGAAGGCAGCGCAGUCCCAAGAGACGGUCACCGUGAAUCCCAUUCAUGCUGGGCCGCCCCCCGCCGGUUGAGGGCAAGUUCUUCAGCAUCCAUCAGUCAAGGAAGGAUGAGCUGGCAGGAUGGUGCAUCAGUCGGGAGCGCGCGGUCGGUGUUAGUGCAGAGAAGCGGUGCCGUGAGUACCAGCGCCUAGAUUAAGCCAAGUUACGAUGAUUGGGACGGAGGUAUUAUGUUAAUCUAGAUAUAAGACAAGC